ensembl:lncRNA
CACACCUGCGUCCCAUCAAGCACCGGCUUUAUAAACCUGGCAACCAAACAUAGAGGUGAGUGAUGUCUCCACAUGUCUCAGCUAGCCACAUUCUCUAUUGUUCCUGCAGAGCGCAGUGUGUGACUGCCAACCCCACCAUGAAGGGAGAGCACGGACCCAUACAGCACAGCGCACCACAAGAGGAGAGAGAGAAAGAGAGAAGCUGAGCACCGAGCACCAUAUGUCUCACGUGGAAGAACUGCUGAAGCACCUCACUGAGGUGAGCAUCCGCCAGCAGCAAAUUACGGAGCACAUGGCCUCCUGACAAGGGGAAACUGAACGCGAGCUUGCUGCGUUCCGCAUCGCCGCUGCCCAGCGAACUCCGCUACCCGACCCCUGUGUCCAGGCCACGCAGUUGCUGCCAAAGAUGACGGUGCAUGAUGAUGUAGCAAUGUAUCUCCAAAUGUUCGAAACUAUUGCCGCCCGGGAGGCGUGGCCCAGGGAUGAGUGGGCACGGAUUGUGGCACCGCUCUUGAUGGGAGAGGCGCAACGGGCGUACUUUGCACUUACAUCGGAACGGAGUGCUUCCUAUGAGGAAUUGAGGAAGGAGAUCCUGGGCCGGGUUGGGCUAUCGCCGAUCAGCACCGCUCAACUCUUCCAUGAGUGGACCUUUGAUCCGUGGCAGCCGGCCCGGGCUCAAGCCGCCAACCUCUCUUGCCUUGCCCAACAUUGGCUACUGGCCGGGGGUCCCACCGCACACCUUGGCUGGCAGGCUGCGCUGUGCACACCGAGAACGUGCCGCGGGCAGAAGUGAAAAUAAAUGGCCGCCCAUUCCUCACCCUCCUAGACUCCGGCAGCGCGGUCAGCCUGGUAAAAACAACUGUCCUGCCCCCACGAGCCGAAACCAAGGCGAAGCUGCCCAUAACCUGUGUGCACGGCGACACAAGAGAAGGCGCGGUGCGUCACUAUCACAGCGCCGGUGGAAGUUGGACUCGUCAAGGAUCUGCCUGUCCUGGUCCUUCUCCCCACCACUCAGCCUGUCAGCCCUGCCGGGAACCGCCCAAAACGGAGGACAACAAAGAAGCCCCAACAGCACCCCGUGUUGUUGGCCUCGGACAGCCCCAAGGAAGGUGAGUAAAUCCCCCCCAGAGUUCUAACCUCUAUUUUGAUCUCUACCAGCAGGUGACUGGGGCCGGGGCCUUUGCCAAGGAGCAACAUGAGGAUGACCGCUUAAAACACUGCUGGGCCCAAGUGAGAUGUCACCAGAGAGGCCUGGGAGCAACAACCGGUGGUACACAGUGUGUGACCGCCAGCCCCACCACGAAGGGAGAGCACAGACCCACACAGCACAGUGCACCACAAGAGGAGAGCGAGAAGCCGAGCACCAAACGCCUCACGUUAGCCCUUUUUUCCCCAACACCUCACCAAUAAAAUCCACCCUUUGGGGAACUUACCUGCAUCCUUGUGUGGUGUGCUUCACCCUGUCACAUUAUUUUUUUUUUUAAGUUUUCUAUAGAUAUCGCAGUAUAUUGUUAUAGUGAAUUUUUGUUGCCAUGACAAUCAUGUAGUGAAAAAUCUGAUAUUGUGACAGCCCUAAUCUAUACAUAGGGAUCAGGUGGAAAUCAAGUUACUGGAGGAAGUGCUUUAAUGGACUGGAGUGGUCUGAAGUGACGGUUUAAAGUUAAAAUGUCUUGAUGGAUUUGUUAUUUAUAAACAUUUGUUAUUUAUAAACAUGCAGCUUUUUACUUCACAGGAUGAUAAUUGAUAGACUGGAGUCUUGUGGAUUACUACUUGUGUAUUAUUGUGAUUAAUUUUAUCAGCUGUUUGGACUCUCACUCUGCACCCAUUCACUGCAGAGGAUCCAUUGGUAAGCAAGUGAUGAAGUGAUGUUACAUUUGUGUUUUGAUGAAGAAACAAACUCAUCUACAUCUUGGAUGGCCAGAGAGUGAAGAAAUUUCAGUUUGGGUG